UUUUUAUUUUUAUGUUUAUCUUCUGUCUACUUGUAGUUUAUUGGAAGCUUUUGGGAGUGCCCCAGUUUCUCCCUUUCAAGAGGGGCUUGGAUAAUGAGACUUGGAUAAUGAAGGUGCCUGCCAGCUCUGAUAUUAUGCAUUUAUAGGAAUGUCUCGAAAUUUCAAGAAUGCAUGCAAUGGUGUUUCCUUAGUAAAUGUCCUUGUAAAAGAAGGUUAUGUCCACCUUUCUUUGUAUAAUCCCAUCGGAUACUUUGGGAGAUCACUAGGAAUAAUUAACGUGUUCUGGAUGACGCGUGCUUAGCUAAUUGGGCUGAAAGCCAGGGUUGGUUAGCAAGUUGGCUGAGUGCCAAGUAGCAGGUGUCUGCAUAGAGUCAGCACUGAUUCUUUAUUCAAAGAAGGGAGGAAGACCUAUGCAUGUUUUGGUUUUGAGAAAGUUUGUCUAGAUUUUGCCUCACUCCCACACUCAUUUAAAAAUGGUGAGAUGAAAAAAAGUUUAUUAGCACUAAAACAAAGAUUUCUUUUACUAUAGUUUUGUUUCUUUUCACCAUUUUCAGUCUGGAUUUUAAGAGGUCACUACAUGUUCCUACCGGUCUUUAAUUACCUUGUAUUUUGAUUGGAGGCACACAACCAAGAUUAUUUUGUGAAGUUUUGCUUCGAGGCAAGUUGGAUUGGGGCUCUUUGCACAGAGAUGACUUUUCUUAAUCUACUCCCAAUUGUUUAAUGUUUUGCAUUUCCAAGUUAGUCUAUCAUUUUUACCUUUGGGUUAAUUUGUAGUAUAGUUCUUCAAGCAACACAUUUAAAUUAUUCACUUCCCUCCUUCCAAGUAUAAAAUUUCUAUUCAUCAGAAACCUUCCAGCUAGGGGGAGGGGAUAAUGGGGGAGGGACUGCUUAAUGCGUAUGAGGUUUCUUUUUGGGGGUGAUGAAAAUGUCUUGGAAUUACAUUGCAGUGAUAGGUUGCAUAAUCCUGUGAAUAUAUGAAAGCCAUUCAAGUGUAUACUUUAAAAGGGUGAAUUUUAUGGUAUGUGAAUUUUACCUCAAUUAAAAAAGAAUCCUUCUUAGCACAGCACUCCAGGGAACCACCACUAGUGGAAUUAGCAUGUGUCAUAAAAUCUGAAGUUUUGCUAUU
rnacentral:lncRNA from 1 species